CACAGUGCAGCGGUGGGCUGAAGGGUUCCUCAAGCGCGGCCAGAGUGGGCGCCAAGGCCGAGGAGGCGCCCAGAGCCAGCGAGGGCUGCCAGCAAGCUGUCACCUCUCAAUAGGAAUUGGUACCAACCUACUUACGAAGAAGUAUUUGUUUUAACCUGAACCUGGGGAAAAACAACAUGAACUGUUCGUCUAUCUAUAUCGUCAUUAUUUUUUACCUCAUGGAUUGAAACAAAUUUUAAAGGAAAAAAGAAUGUUAAGAAAGAGCAGCACUUACUAUCAGGCAGGCACCUCACGAGCAUUGUGAACACUCAGAUCUUCCAGGUGCGUUUUUAUAAUGACACUCUAUCAAGCCACUGAGAUCAACUGCCAGAGCUCAAUCUGCUACAGGAAUCUUGCUAGAAGAAAAGAAUGUUUCAUCAGAGACAGUCAUUCAUCCUGGCCCACACCUCUCCUGCUCUAAUCUUCCACUGUUAAAAGCAUAACACACUGGAGGAAGAUUGUGCUAUAUUUCAUGCAUGCUCUGCGCCACCACCACUCGCUGCUUUCUGAAGGACAUGCCAAUCAUGCACAGCACUUACUAGAAACUGCAAGACUGCACAACAUGAUGGUAUUUAUUCCAGGAACAGGAGCCAGUCCUGGGCACACACAUAAGGGGACUUCCUUCACUCCCCAGAAUAAGAGAAAGCAUGCUGACACACAUCUGCCCAAGCAAUCAGAAGGCAGCUAAAGCCGCCACAGUCUUCACUCACCAACAGUUAGACCUUUUCAAUUGAUUUUAUUGAAGAAAGUGAGUGCUGAGCACCAUGAGUUCUCAUAAACAAUCCAUUUUGGCAAAUGCUUUAAGAAUGUUGGUUAAUUGCAGUUAGGCAGCAUCGACGUAUUUUAUUUUUUUGGAAAGCAAGAAGCUGGCUUACCAACAUUAAGUUAAACACCAUGUAAGGGUUAGAAAUAUGAAUCAACUAUUAGGGUGGUACCAUCUCUUUAUAAUAAACCAAUGUAGAUUGAUUAAGUAUAGCCUAAAAGUUUACCAGAAAUCAUAACUACAUUUAAGCUUUGAAUUUCAUGACUAGUGAUUAAUUUUGCAUGUCAACUUGACUGAGCUUAUAGGAUGCCCAGGUAUCUGAUUAAACAUUAUUUCUGGAGGUGUCUGUGAGGGUGUUUCUGUAAGAGAAUAGCAUCUGAAGGCCGGGUGUGGUGGCUCAUGCCUGUAAUCCUAGCACUUUGGGAGGCUGAGGUGGGCAGAUUGCCUGAGCUCAGGAGUCUGAGACCAGCCUGGGCAACAUGGCAAAACACCGUCUGUACUAAAAAAUACAAAGUUUAGUUGGAUGUGGUGGCGCACACCUGUAGUCCCAGCUACUAGGGAGGCUAAGGCAUGAGAAUUUCCUGAGCCUGCGAGGCGGAGGUUGCAGUAAGCCAAGAUUGUACUCCAGCCUGGGUGAUAAAGUGAGACCCUAUCUCAUAAAAAACAAAAAAACAAAAACAGAAAAAAAGAAGACGAAGAAGAAAGAGAGACAGAUUAGCAUUUGAAUGGGUGGACUGAGUAAAGCAGAUGGCCCUCAUCAGUGUUGGUGGGAAUUGUCCUAUCCAUUGAGGGCUUAAAUGAAACAAAGACUGAGGAAGGCUGAAUUCAAUCUCUGCUGACUGCUGGGGCUGAGACAUCAAUCUUCUGCUCUCAGUGCUCUUCCAGACUCAGACUGGAAUGUACACUAUCAGCUCUCCAGUUCUCAGGCCUUCAAAUUACACCUCUGGCUUUCCUGGGUCUCCAGCUUGCAGAUGGCAGAUCAUGGGACUUCAUGGGACUUCUCAGACUCCAUAACCAAGAAGCUCAGUGUCAUAUCACACUUUCCAACUAUUACUGAGGGGUCAUUGCUGCUUUCCUGAAACCUGGUGGCCCCUGUCUAUAACCUGUGAAAUGGUGGUAGAGCUCCACCAUCCUGGCCAGCUCACUCUAGCAAGAUACUAGGACUUCACCAUUUAUUAUCAAUACAGUACCGACCACUACAGAGAUCCCAGGGCAUUGGAACAGUAUACCUGCCACAAGGAGCAACACACAUUCGAAUAGUGGCCUGCUUCACAGGGUCCUUUGAGAUCCCAAGAAAAGCUAAUGAUGUCACAAAGGAAAACACACCCUGAUUAUAUUGGGACUUGCUCUCUGAGAGCUUCAAAAGAACU
rnacentral:lncRNA from 1 species